rnacentral:snoRNA from 1 species
CUUCCCAUAUAAUUGCUGCCAUGCUGUUUUCAAGUAGUGUGGGCAGUUAUACGCGUGGGAUAAAUUAUCCUCAAUUCCCAGUAGAGAGUAUGGUGGGACAGGGAAUGUCUCAGCUUUGCAAAGGGACUUGAACAUAA